GAUGAUAGGGUAAAAGAUGAUAUCAAUGAUGACAAUGACGACGAUAAUGA
rnacentral:snoRNA from 1 species